rnacentral:rRNA from 1 species
UACGUAGGUGGCAAGCGUUGUCCGGAUUUACUGGGCGUAAAGAGCGCGCAGGCGGUCAGAUAAGUCGAAUGUGAAAGCCCCCGGCUCAACUGGGGAGGGUCAUUCGAUACUGUUCGACUCGAAGGCAGGAGAGGGAAGUGGAAUUCCCGGUGUAGUGGUGAAAUGCGUAGAUAUCGGGAGGAACACCAGUGGCGAAGGCGGCUACCUGGACCGGUUCUGACGCUGAGGCGCGAAAGCGUGGGUAGCAAACAGG